rnacentral:ribozyme from 13 species
UCCUUUUUGUUUUUUUUUGUUUUUGUUUUUCAAAUCCUUUUGUUUUUGUAAUUUUUUUUUUCCAACAAUGAAAGAAGCAUCUCAAACCAAAAAAACAAAAUAAAGACUCAAUUUGUUUGACAAAAAUCUCCUUCUUUU